UUUUUCUUAACCCAUUAGGUAGGGAAACUUGACUCCAUUAGAACUCAUUUGUGUGCUGCCUUUGUCAGGAACCCUUCAAGAAACAGACGGCAUUCUCAAAUUGGGAUCAUCUGAAGAGGAUUUAUAAAAAAGACCACUUACAAAGCAGGCUAGCCCAGAGUUGUUCUCAUGGCAAAGGAAGAGGAGCAAGAGAGUGAGCGAGUGUCCAUAAUGCCUUCUGGGGCCUCGGCUACGUAUGGCACCCCAUCACCUCCACCACCUUCCAAAGGCGGAAGCAAGUUGCAAGACAGUCCAGUUCAAUGCAUUGAACAAUAUGACAAAAGACAAGAAAGGAGGCUUUCGCUCCAGAUGUGCCAAAUUUCCUAGAAGAAAAAAAGAUCUACAAAGCUUCUCCACCACCUGUCCUGGUACGGCAAAGAGAGGACUUGACUUCACGUGAGAAAGCUUAUCAAAUAAAAAACUCUACUUGUCAGAAUUUUCUUUCUAGUUCCCAUCCAACAGAGGCACAUCCUGACGAGCUGUAGAUCUCUCCACUGACCGAGGGCAAAAAGCGACAAGGCAGACUAACUCAACGUUGGGCUGGGGGGGUCGGAGACUUCAUG
rnacentral:lncRNA from 1 species